rnacentral:rRNA from 1 species
UGAGGGAAAGGCGAAAAGAACCCCGGCGAGGGGAGUGAAAAAGAACCUGAAACCGUGUACGUACAAGCAGUGGGAGCACAGGUUUACCUGUGUGACUGCGUACCUUUUGUAUAAUGGGUCAGCGACUUAUAUUCUGUAGCAAGGUUAACCGUAUAGGGGAGCCGUAGGGAAACCGAGUCUUAACCGGGCGUUAAGUUGCAGGGUAUAGACCCGAAACCCGGUGAUCUAGCCAUGGGCAGGUUGAAGGUUGGGUAACACUAACUGGAGGACCGAACCGACUAAUGUUGAAAAAUUAGCGGAUGACCUGUGGCUGGGGGUGAAAGGCCAAUCAAACCGGGAGAUAGCUGGUUCUCCCCGAAAGCUAUUUAGGUAGCGCCUCGUGAAUUCAUCUCCGGGGGUAGAGCACUGUUUCGGCUAGGGGGCCAUCCCGGCUUACCAACCCGAUGCAAACUGCGAAUACCGGAGAAUGUUAUCACGGGAGACACACGGCGGGUGCUAACGUCCGUCGUGAAGAGGGAAACAACCCAGACCGCCAGCUAAGGUCCCAAAGUCAUGGUUAAGUGGGAAACGAUGUGGGAAGGCCCAGACAGCCAGGAUGUUGGCUUAGAAGCAGCCAUCAUUUAAAGAAAGCGUAAUAGCUCACUGGUCGAGUCGGCCUGCGCGGAAGAUGUAACGGGGCUAAACCAUGCACCGAAGCUGCGGCAGCGACACUAUGUGUUGUUGGGUAGGGGAGCGUUCUGUAAGCCUGUGAAGGUGUGUCGUGAGGCAUGCUGGAGGUAUCAGAAGUGCGAAUGCUGACAUAAGUAACGAUAAAGCGGGUGAAAAGCCCGCUCGCCGGAAGACCAAGGGUUCCUGUCCAACGUUAAUCGGGGCAGGGUGAGUCGACCCCUAAGGCGAGGCCGAAAGGCGUAGUCGAUGGGAAACGGGUUAAUAUUCCCGUACUUGGUGUUACUGCGAAGGGGGGACGGAGAAGGCUAUGUUGGCCGGGCGACGGUUGUCCCGGUUUAAGCGUGUAGGUGUGUGUUCCAGGUAAAUCCGGUUCACUUUAACACUGAGGCGUGAUGACGAGGCACUACGGUGCUGAAGCAACAAAUGCCCUGCUUCCAGGAAAAGCCUCUAAGCAUCAGGUAACAUCAAAUCGUACCCCAAACCGACACAGGUGGUCAGGUAGAGAAUACCAAGGCGCUUGAGAGAACUCGGGUGAAGGAACUAGGCAAAAUGGUGCCGUAACUUCGGGAGAAGGCACGCUGACAC